UACGUAGGGUGCAAGCGUUAUCCGGAUUUACUGGGUGUAAAGGGCGCGUAGGCGGGAAUGCAAGUCAGAUGUGAAAUCUGGGGGCUCAACCCUCAAACUGCAUUUGAAACUGUAUUUCUUGAGUGAUGGAGAGGCAAGUGGAAUUCCUAGUGUAGCGGUGAAAUGCGUAGAUAUUAGGAGGAACACCAGUGGCGAAGGCGACUUGCUGGACAUUAACUGACGCUGAGGCGCGAAAGCGUGGGGAGCAAACAGG
rnacentral:rRNA from 1 species